GAUGAACGCUAGCUACAGGCUUAACACAUGCAAGUCGGGGGGUAACGAGAGGAAAGCUUGCUUUCCUUGUCGACGACCGGCGCACGGGUGAGUAACGCGUAUCCAACCUGCCCCCAACUAGGGAAUAACCUUGCGAAAGUAAGACUAAUACCCUAUAAUUUCCUCAGAUGUCAUCUGACGAGGAAUAAAGAUUUAUCGGUUGUGGAGGGGGAUGCGUCGGAUUAGCUUGUUGGCGGGGUAACUGCCCACCAAGGCAACGAUCAGUAGGUGUGUGGAGAGCAAGGCCCCCCACAUUGGAACUGAGACCGGGUCGAAACGACUGCGGGAGGCAACAGUGAGGAAUAUUGGUCAAUGGGCGGAAGCCUGACCCAGCCACGUAGCGUGCAGGAUGACGCGCCUAUGUGUUGUAAACUGCUUUUAUACAGGAAUAAAGUUAGCCACGUGUGGUUAGUUGUAGGUACUGUAUGAAUAAGGACCGGCUAAUUCCAUGCCAGCAGCAGCCGCCG
rnacentral:rRNA from 1 species